UACAGAGGUCCCAAGCGUUGUUCGGAUUCACUGGGCGUAAAGGGUGCGUAGGCGGCCGGGUAAGUCUGAUGUGAAAUCCCGCAGCUCAACUGCGGAACUGCAUCGGAUACUCUCCGGCUGGAGGAAUGGAGGGGAGACUGGAAUUCUCGGUGUAGCAGUGAAAUGCGUAGAUAUCGAGAGGAACACCAGUGGCGAAGGCGAGUCUCUGGACAUUUCCUAACGCUGAGGCACGAAAGCCAGGGGAGCAAACGGG
rnacentral:rRNA from 1 species